rnacentral:rRNA from 1 species
UGAGAGCUUCGGCGGGAUUUUUAUUUAUCUUAGUGGCGGACGGGUGAGUAACGUGUGGGCAACCUGCCCUAUACUGGGGAAUAAUCACUGGAAACGGUGACUAAUACCGCAUGUCAUUACGGAAGGGCAUCCUUCUGUAAGAAAAGGAGUAAUUCGGUAUAGGAUGGGCCCGCAUCUGAUUAGCUAGUUGGUGAGAUAACAGCCCACCAAGGCGACGAUCAGUAGCCGACCUGAGAGGGUGAUCGGCCACAUUGGGACUGAGACACGGCCCAAACUCC